rnacentral:rRNA from 1 species
AACCGUGGCUCAGUUCAGAUCGUAGGCUGCAACUCGCCUACGUGAAGGAGGAAUCGCUAGUAAUCGCAGGUCAGCAUACUGCGGUGAAUACGUUCCCGGGCCUUGUACACACCGCCCGUCACACCAUGGAAGUUGGCCACGCCCGAAGCCGUUACUCCAACCCUUGUGGAGGAGGACGUCGAAGGUGGGGCUGAUGACUGGGGUGAAGUCGUAACAAGGUAUCCGUACCGGAAGGUGCGGAUGGAUCACCUCCUAA